UUGUUUUGGACUAAAAAAUUGCUGCAUGACCUACAUACAAUCUACAUACAAUAGACAAGUAAAAAAGAUAAAACAAACAAUAUAAAAGAUAAAAUAGAAAGAAAACCUUAAGAUAAACAUCUGUUAAACAGGCACACAGAUACUGGUACAAAGGAAUUCUUCUAUCGAUUUAGCUUACACCUUGGGACUCUGUAUCUUCUGCCAGAGCAACCCAUUCUCACUCCAAAUGCGUCAAAAACCGAAGCAUGGUCAAGCGCCCCUAGCGUCACUUUUAUGACGCCAAAUGUGCCUCUCGGCGUCGACUAUCGAAGCACUACGACCUUCAUUGCUUUCAGUGGGAAACUUUUGGCGUCAGAAUUCGACACGAGGACAUGAGAUGUUUAUCGCUAUGAAAUCACGUUCAAGAAGUCUCAUUCAGCACACAUCGCGCGAUACUUGCUAUCAGUUCCACAGUUUGGCUGAAAAGACGUAAAGGCAGUCAGCCCAGUGGUGUUUCUGGAGAGGGAUUCCUUCAGAAAUGGAGAAGACAGAAAGCUGCGGAGGCAGAUAUUUGCAGCAUGUUCGAGUGAGCAUGAUGACCACAAGUGUGUGUCAAACUUUUCAUGACCUGAUGACUGUGUUUCCCAAUCCUGAUCCUGGAGAACCCCCGCACUGCACGGUUUUGGUGUCUCUCUUAUCUGCCUUGGAGUCUUCACUGAUGAGCUGAUGAGUUGAAUCAGGUGUGUUUGAUCAGGGAGACAUCUCAAAUGUGCAGUGUUGGGGUUCUCCAGGACCAGGAUUGGGAGCCACUGCCUUAUGGGACACUUAUGUGUUUAAAGAGAUUUUUAAUAUCUAAUUAUCAAUAUUUCACAUACUGUACAUUGGACAGCUUUCCAUGACCUCUUGUGAGAUCUCGGCAAAAAGUCUGACGAUUUAUUCCAAAACAUGAUGCAUGAUGGGAUACACUAAGCUUUGUAUAGUGCUCCGGAGCAGUAUUGGAGAGGUUUAGUGUGUGUUAAGGACGCUGUGCUUUGGCAUUAUUAAGACCGGGGACAGUCUUGUGCACACACUGUCACAUACACACACUCUCAAGUGGCCAAGACUGCAAGUGUGGGUAUCUGGACAGGGUCAAAGUCUUAAAAAUGAUCCCUAAACACAUCACAGUCUUAAUAAUCCAGUUUAACACUUGUAUGAUAUUGUACAAGCCCCAGGACGGUCUCAUCUGACACUAUCAAAAGAAUUCAUAUGACUAUAGCUUGUUAUUAAUUACUUGCUUUCAAUAAUGGAUUCAUUUAACAUUUAAUUAUACAGCAUCUUUACAGAGGUGUAAUGUACAAGCUGCACGUAAUUAAUAAUAUGUCCUUCCUUCUGUCUUACAGGAUUUUUUCCAGAUAAUGCUGUUCUUCUUUUUCAGGUCUAAAAUAUCGAGCUCAACAGCUAUUUUAAGAGCCAACCCUCACAAACCUUCCUAAAACCUAAAAGAGCUAUUACUGAGUCUCAGCGAAUCUUGCCAUGAUCAGCUCUUCCCAGAAGAGAAGGAAGACCAAGGAAAUUAUUUGCUCAGGAUGAGAAAUGAAGACGGCCAUCUUGUGCUCAAACAAACAGAAGUCCUUUGAUGAUCUCAUCAGCCAAAUGAGGGGUUUUGACCAAGUGAUGCUCUUGAAAGGAGAGAAAGAAGAGGAUGUGCUAAAUUCUCUUCAGAGAAAAAGCUUCUCAAAAGGUCUUAAAGCAGCUUGAAGAAUGGUCUGGGAUGUUAGGACUGAGAGAUCCUCUGGCUGAGAACAAGCUACACCACAUCAGUGCUGGACAUCAACCACAAACUGUUUCCAGACACGAGAGAAGAAGAACACGAUGGGGAGAUGAAACCAGUUUAGAUGUGAUGAUGGGAAUCAUUAUUUUCUGGAACAGUAUCACAUGUCUUAUAUG